CAUCAAAAUACUCAUAUUUAUCACCAAAAUACUUAUACUUCCCACUGAAAUACUCACAUUUCUAUUCCUUUUAAUUCCACUAAUAACUUUUUUAUAACUAUUAUAGCUCACUCAACUCUUCGUUUUUAUCACCGGCAAAACCUCGCCAAUCGAUUUUUAUCAUCCUAGUCCUUCUCAAGUCUAAUCCACUUUUAACCCUAAACAAAAAUGAGGCCCAUUAUCUCCUUUCGACGGGCUGGGUCGCGUGAAUUGGGCUUCAACGGGACUGACAAUAGUACCAUCGUCUUCCCCAAUACAAUACACGUCUCACGGUCUCAGGUCUGUUCACUGUACUGUGCUUCAAGGAACCGGUCUCCCAUCUGUCAGCAUUUCUUCUACGUCCACUUCCUUCAUCUCUCUAAAUUCAACAAACUUCCCUCCUUUUAAAGUUCCAAAAUUCCAGACGAAGCUUUUCAACAUGGAAGUUUUCUGAACUACUUGAAGACUCCACCCUUUUCGCUCCUAAAAAUCUCUCUUUACAAUCGAGAUCGUUAAACGAAGAAAAGUUAUGAUCGAUCGUCUCAGUCCAAAUAGUUUCUUCUUGGUUCUACAAUUAUGAUGGACUUUAUCAAGUAGUUUAAGGUGAUGAGUGGUGGAAGCCAUGGCUGAAAACCCUAAAAUGGGUGUAAGAAACCCUUCCAAAAUUCCCCCCAGUUCAGCGCCUCGGUCGCCCAAUUCCCCACGCUUCCCUUUGCAUCUAGACCUGCCGGACAUAUCGCCGGCUGCUAAAACCAUUUGCGAAGUCCUGAUUAAAGUCCCACGGAAUGAAGUAGACGCCGCGCUGUCCGCGACGGGAUUGGCUCCGUCGCCGGAGCUUGUCCAAGAAAUUCUGAGGGUUUCUUAUAACUAUCCUUCGUCGGCGAUCAAGUUCUUCCGGUGGGCGAGGCAGUUGGCGAAACAGUCGGCAUACUCGUGGAAUCUGAUGAUUGAUUUGUUGGGCAAGAACGAACUUUUCGAAGAAAUGUGGAACGGUAUUCGGACGAUGAGGCAAGAAAAGAUUCUUUCGUUGCCAACUUUUGUGUCGGUUUUUGGGAGUUAUUGUUCUGCUGGCAGGUUUAAAGAAGCGACAAUGAGCUUUGAAGUGAUGGAUAGGUACGAAGUUGAGAAGGAUGUUGUGGCAGUGAAUUCUCUACUGAGUGCAAUUUGCUCUGAGGAAAAUCAAACAUCAAAGGCUUGGGAGUUCUUUGAGAAACAUAAAGAGAAGAUUCCUUUGGAUGGGGACUCAUUCGCCAUUUUAUUGGAAGGUUGGGAGAAAGAAGGCAAUGUGGAGAAAGCUGAGGUUACAUUUGAUGAAAUGGUGAAAAGGAUCGGCUGGAAUCCUGAAAAUGUUUCAUCUUAUGAUGCAUUUUUGAUAACGUUGGUUCGUGGGGGCCGAUCUGAAGAUGCAAUCAAGGUUCUUCUAGAACUGAAGAAGAAUCGGUGUUUGCCAGGUUUGAAAUUCCUGUCCAAUGCUCUUGAUAGUCUCAUUCAGCAAAAUGAUGCAAACCAUGCGAUUCUCUUGUGGGAUAUAGUUGUGGGAAGUGGAUUAGUCCCUAACUUGAUCGUGUACAAUGCCAUAAUCGGAUUGCUUAGCGAGAAUAGUAAGAUCGACGACUCGUUUCGGCUCUUGGAUUCCAUGGUUUUCCAUGGUGCUUUUCCUAACUCCGUAACGUACAACCUGAUCUUCAGUUGUUUGAUUAAGAAUAAGAAAAUUAAGGAAGUUAGUCAAUUUUUCAGGGAGAUGGUAAAGAAUGAAUGCCCUCCUACCCCUUCUAAUUGUGCUGCAGCUAUCACAAUGUUGUUUGAUGGUUAUGACCCUGAAACAGCCAUUGAUAUAUGGAACUACAUGGAUGAGAAUCACAUCGAACCUAUGGAUGCAAGUGCAAAUGCACUGCUCAUUGGCCUUUGCAACUUGAAUCGGUUAACAGAGGUAAGGAGCUUCGCUGAUGAUAUGAUCGACCAGCGUAUUGAAAUAUUGGAAUCAACUAUGAAGUUGUUGAAGAAUUGUUUCUAUCUGCAGAGAGGAAGUUUCAGAGAGAAUUAUGAUGGUCUCUUGCGUAGGUGGAGAGCUUCCUCAAUUUUGUAAUUUUACCCUCUUCAAUUCAUUCUUGGUGUUUUUACAAGCACAAUACAUAGCAGCAUUAGUGAUCACCUUUGAGAUGCGUUAAAAGAGGGAAAGGAAGAUAUACCAAAACCUUCUCCGCCCAUCGCUGCAACUUUUUGAUAAUCAUGCAUUCCUUCCUCAGUGUUUCUCCCUAAAAUUGAGCUCUGCAACACAACAAAAGUGGUGAAGAUCUAAAGCGACAUACUCAUCCUCUAAUUUGGAUCGCCGGCAUAAUCUGCGCCACCAUAGCUCUUGCAGUAAUCGUAGCAGGCAUCGUCAUCUUCAUCGGCUAUGUUACGAUCCGCCCUAGGGUACCGUCAAUCAGUGUAACCGACGGACAUCUCGACAGAAUCCGAAGCAGUAGAACCGGAUUGCUUGAAGUCCAAAUGAAGAUCGUCGUCCGAGCCGAGAAUCAAAAUGCUAAAGCACACGCAAGCUUUUCAAAGACGGAUUUUGUCCUACUUUUCGACGGAAUAGAAAUCGCAUCACUAGUAGCUCAUCGGCCGUUCAAAGUGAACAAAAUGAGUUACCUGGAUUUGCAUUUCUUGGUGGAAUCAUCGGCAAUUCCGCUCGAUUCAACACAGAUGCAGCAUCUUAGCUGGUCGCUGAAGAGAAAUUUGAUACAAUUCGAUCUGAAAGGAAGCUCGAGAACUCGAUGGCGAGUUGGAAUUUUGGGACCGCUCAAAUUCUGGUGCCGAUUGAAUUGUCACCUCAGGUUUCUCCCGCGCAAUGGAAGCUAUGUCCCCAUGCCUUGUUCUUCAAAUCAAAAAUAAUUCGUGGAAAAAAGAGGACAGAAAAUCUCGAAAUUUGAAUUUGGAAAUUUUUAUGGACAAUGAAACUCAUCCGUUCGUGGGGAUCGGGUUGGUAUAAA